AUAUAUGUCCAUAGGUACUCAAAAAUGGACUGAUUUGAUUUUAGUGAUGAAGGUCAGUAAAACCUCACAAAAUGCGUUUUUUGGCAUAACUCAAGAACUCUUACACCAAUUACAUCAACAUUACACAUACAUGUCUAAUAUGAUGAAAUAAUGAAGUCAUGAUAUUUUAUAUCCCAAACUUCACUGGGAAAUCAUAAUGUUUUGCCAAAACACUGUUCUGGCAAUUAUUCAACUUGAUAAGUCAGGAACAGAUUGUGACCAUAUUUAACAUAUUUGUCUAUGACUGAGUUGGUGACCCUUCUCUUGAAACUGUGGUGAUUGUAGUGAAUGUAGAAGAUGUGUGUGAAGCAUCCCAGCUUCACCAAAAAUACACUUAAUACCUUUUUUUUAUUUAUUUUUUAUUAAAUUCCGUCAAAGUCUACAAUACAUAUGAGUCUGGACAGACAUGGAUGUUAACUGUAACUUGACUGGUUGGCGGAGGCAUACAACCGCAAAGCGGUAAUUUUAGUUCUCUACUUUCUUUUCGGUAAGCAUAUUCUGAGCACACCUUGCCACAAUGGUGCCCAGUUUGCUUCACAAUGUAUGUCAGACAUAUGGCAAUCCUAUCAAUUUAAUAAAAUAUAAUGCUCUCUCCUUCCCCUUAGAGAUCGAUCAACCCUCUGUCUCUGCCUUUGAGGAGGAGAUUCCCCUGCAGAAGGUCCAACAGGCCUCACUGCUGCUUCAAGUUAAAGAAGAAACAGGAAUGCGGAAACAAGUGAGUCAUCCUGAGGGGCAGAACGUAUGUGAGCAAGUACAAAAAGGUAACAGUCAAAUGAGUCUGGAGGCAGAUCAUGCCCAAGUCACUGUAUUCAACCUGGUCUGUGUGGACAGUUAUAUUCAAGAUCUUGGCGAAAUGAACAGUGCAGACAGAGGCAGGGGACAUCCUCGCUCUAAUUCUUCAAAUCAAACUCUGGAAAUGCAUGGUCGUGGUGUUGGUGAAAUACAGCAGCCAGCUGGGGAAUCUGAGCACCCCACACCUUGCUCUAGAUUAAAGGCUUUCAAUUCAAGGAGGAAAAAGCGUGUGGAAAGGUCUUUACCCCCCUUGAGUUUGAAUUUACAGAAAUCAACCCAUCCAUCUGUCAAUCAUAAUCCCACAGGUCCUCAUUGUUGCAAAGCAUGCGGAAAGACUUUCC